GCAAAUUUAAAUAAAAAUCACAUUUCCAAUUUGUACGAAAAUAAAGUUCAAUGUCGUCAAGAACAUUUCGUCUCCAUUCAAAAGUGAAAUUGAAGGUUAAGUUUGAGUGAGAUAAACAAGCAAUUAUAGCUACAUAUUUAAAUACAUAUGUAUGCAUGUAGAUAUAUACAUAGAAUUAUGUAUGUCCGUCCAUAUGUGUUGAAAGCAUAAAAAUGCGUAAAGACAGCUAAGUAGAAUGAUGAGUAAAGACUCGCACACUUUGCGCGGAUUAAUGAGGCGGAAAAACGCACAUGGAGCAGGAAAUAUUUAACUCCCAGCACUCAAGGCGUAUUAAGCCAUUAAGGUUAAUGGCAGCGGAAGGUGAAAACCAUAAAACUACACAAACAUGCAGACCAUCUACAAAUAACUUCCACCGUUUCAGCUCCCACAAUUUUUUUUUUUUUUAUUUUUAUUUUUUUUUGACAUGGCAUCAUACUUAUAUUUACGCAAAAUAUACAUGUGAAUACGAAAAAGCAUAAUUUUUAUUUAUUUUCUUUAAUCUUUUGUUCGUUGUUGCCAUUAUCAUUUAAUCGCCAUCUGCGCGUUCUGUUCUUAAUGUCAGAAUUUU